rnacentral:rRNA from 1 species
GUCGAACGAGCGAGAGGGAGCUUGCUUUCUCGAGCGAGUGGCGAACGGGUGAGUAACGCGUGAGGAACCUGCCUCAAAGAGGGGGACAACAGUUGGAAACGACUGCUAAUACCGCAUAAGCCCACGGGUCGGCAUCGACCAGAGGGAAAAGGAGCAAUCCGCUUUGAGAUGGCCUCGCGUCCGAUUAGCUAGUUGGUGAGGUAACGGCCCACCAAGGCAACGAUCGGUAGCCGGACUGAGAGGUUGAACGGCCACAUUGGGACUGAGACACGGCCCAGACUCCUACGGGAGGCAGCAGUGGGGAAUAUUGCACAAUGGGGGAAACCCUGAUGCAGCGACGCCGCGUGGAGGAAGAAGGUCUUCGGAUUGUAAACUCCUGUUGUUGAGGAAGAUAAUGACGGUACUCAACAAGGAAGUGACGGCUAACUACGUGCCAGCAGCCGCGGUAAAACGUAGGUCACAAGCGUUGUCCGGAAUUACUGGGUGUAAAGGGAGCGCAGGCGGGAAGACAAGUUGGAAGUGAAAUCCAUGGGCUCAACCCAUGAACUGCUUUCAAAACUGUUUUUCUUGAGUAGUGCAGAGGUAGGCGGAAUUCCCGGUGUAGCGGUGGAAUGCGUAGAUAUCGGGAGGAACACCAGUGGCGAAGGCGGCCUACUGGGCACCAACUGACGCUGAGGCUCGAAAGUGUGGGUAGCAAACAGGAUUAGAUACCCUGGUAGUCCACACCGUAAACGAUGAUUACUAGGUGUUGGAGGAUUGACCCUUUCAGUGCCGCAGUU